ensembl:lncRNA
GUCCCGAGUCUAAGAGAACCAGGGAGUCUAUUAGACGGCACCGGUUGUAGUUAUAAUUAAUUUAACUGUCAGUUAACCUUCUGCUACAGAUUUGCACUCUCUCUAAUCUGUCAGCGGCAUCAUCCUUCAUCGCCUCCCUCGCGUUCCCUACUCUUCUUUCCUCAUGUUAAGUCCUGCUACAGUAGUGCCGUCUCUGUACCAGGUAGAGCUCAACAAUAUGGACCAAAAACCAGGCAUAUUCUACGGUUGACUAUUUGCUUUUACAAAGGUUUUUUUCUGUAAAUGACUGAUUCUGAUAUUGGUAUAUUUAUUUAGGCCGCAGUAAACGGUGCCCUUCCCUCUUUAUUCUGGAUUUAGGCCAAACACACUGCUAGCUGCUGCAGCUGAACAGUGUGUCAUGUAGCAGUAUACUGUCUUAUGCAACCCUCCACCUCCCCUCGUCUCCUAUUCAGGGGAGCAGGUGAUUGGUUACUCAGUUACUGUAUGAUCGUAUUAAUCGUACACGCUUGAACAGAUCAUGUGCGAUAACACACAUCUCUCAGGAUGUUCCACUGGUUGCUUGACGCCUCACAAACUGCUCCGGUAACAGGCUCGCUCACUUCCUCUCCAGGACGGAGCAGUAGGAUCAUAAAAUGCACAACUUGUGCAAACAAGCAGCAAUAAAGUGCAGUGUGAGCGCUUCCGCACCAGGUACGGUCACAUCACAAUGAUUAGAUUGACAUGAUAAAUAUGUAAAACCCCGUCAUCUGCCAAGCACGUUAUGGAUCAGCUCCUGUACUUUGCCAACCACGUCUCUGAGCACAAGCAGCAAACGGCACCAACAUGUUGUUGCUUUGCUUCAAAGUGUCAGCGGGUUUGACAAGUGAUUUGUGAAAAGAAAUCCAUCAAUAAAUGACUUUAAUGAAUAAAUGUGUUUGAGGUAUUCAUUGUAUCAUUGCAGGUAAUUAUUAACUGACUUCCUUGACCUUGGACCUGAGGCUUGCAGACCAAAUCGAUAACGUUCAGCAUGUUCUGCUAAUUCAUUGUGUUUGAAAAAGACACGAAGAGAACCUUUAAUCAGAGAACUGGUGGUUUGGCUCCCGGCUCUGCUAAUGUGUCCUCUGGCAGGAAUGCAUUGAACGGAUGAUGACAUGACAAAGAGAAGUCUGAGUACAGCCUAUCUAUCUAAACGCUAUGCUGGUCUGUAUUUGAGAUGAAACAUGCACACGCACACAAAUGUUAAAACAUUCGUCACAAUAGUUGAAAAUCUGCUCUUACCCACAACACAUGGUAACCUUCAGCUAAGCUGACUCCACUGCUCCACCCGUCAGCUGUAAUGAGCCAAACAGAAAUGACGCAGCUGUUACUAUUAUUGGUGACGGAGGGUCCUAAUGCGGCUCCUCGUGUCUCCUCAGAGUUGGACGUCUGAAAGGUAGAUGGGCUAAAAAUAGCUCCGCCCACACAGACCCCUCCAUCGGGACGCGAUGAACCCGGGGGAUAAACGGCAGGCCAGCGAUGGAAAACAGAGCGUCACUGAAAUAAGGCGCUGUCAGGGUCGGCAACACACAAUUACUCCUGAAUACUAACGGUCGAUUUUAAAGUGAUGUCGUUGCGUAAGAGUGAUAAAGAUGCCGUGUGGUUUCUAUAAACCAGGGGUGGGAUUCCCUCGGCGUUUUUUGUCGUGUUAAAUGCAGGGAUUUGAAACACAAAGUGCGCGAAAUAUUUUGGUCAGAGUUAAAACAAACCAACGUUAAUGAUUGUGAGGUCAAAUACACUCAACCAUCCAUCCUGAUUCCAAAGAGGGGUUGAGGGAACAGACACGAUUUCCCCGAUGAACAGACAUAAACCUACAGGUAGUUCAGUGUUUGAGGAAACAACCAUUGAAUAGAUUUUCUGAUGUGAAGCACAAUGUGCUCGGAAGCAGAGGCUCAUCAACGGGACAGGAUCUCAACUCAAGGUCCGCUGGUUUUACAAAGCGCCUUCAGGUACAUGCUGCAGUCCUUUUCACACCUCCACACCUGCCGCAUUAGGUGGAAUUAUUCCACAUUGAAAUGGCACAAAAUAUCUGGUAAGUAAGUGAGGUUAAGUACCUUCAGUCAGGACGGUUUCGUCAAAGUUCAACCUUGGGUUUACUGGAGGGGAUCGGCUUAAUGGAAGCCACCUGCAGGUGUUGGGUUCCCUUGUGUGUGUCUGUGUGUGUCUGCCCAGCUGCUCUCCAUCAUAUCACCACUCCACAGCAAUCUGCCCCUUUCCCAUCCGCUCUUCAGUGGUAAACAACGCGUGCUGGGCUGUACGAGUAAUUUAAAGUAAUUUAAAGUAUUGACUAGUGUUGCACGGUGUACCGGUACUAGAAAGGUACCGCGGUACCCAUACGUUGAAAACAAUACGGUUUUGAAUAUUUUUAGUACCAGUACUUUAAGAAAAGCAGCAAUUGUAGCGCACUGACUGUCCCGCUCCGUGUCGGGCUGCCUGCACACAUCGACUGAACGGCUCUCACACAUGUUGUCAGGGGAGACGCGCCCUCUCGUAGCAGACUGCUCACCCAUAUACAGCCUAACACCAUUAGCCUUAGCCUAGCUUAGCUCGGGUGACCAGACGUCCUCUUUUACCCAGACGCAUUUUUUAGGUCUCGAAAAGAGGAAAUGUCCGAGUAUAAGAGGACGUCUGCUUUGUCUUGUGUUGCAUUGCUUGAUGUUUGACUGUUUGGAAAAUUGUUGACUUGCUAGUUUGUCAUAAACAAAGUAAGUUUAGCCGCUAGCAGACAUCUCGUUAGCAAUGUUAGCAAGCUUGUUAUAAAACGCUAGCAUAGUGAUGCUAGUAUUAAGUGCUCUCGAGUCGGCUUCUUUGUAAUGUUAUAGGGACACUUUUCACUAAACCUUGGAGUGAGACGUUGGGGGUGAAGCUACGGCUGACGGGGGUGUAAGUUACGCUACGUGCGGCGAAUCGGGUUAUAGAUGCGCCGUUUAGAUGAACCAGCGCAGAUUCUUUUUUUUUUGCGUAAUAAAUUGGAUGUGUGGCGUGAGUGCGUGUGAAAACAUGGAAACACGCGUGUCACACGGGGAAACCGUGAGAGUUGGCAGCCCUGUAGCUUUGUUGCUAGCUUGACAACAACUUAACACAGUCAAACAUCAAGCAACACAAAACAAAGCAAGACCCCAAAUAAGUUCCUGAAUAGUCCAGCAGAAAUAUAUACAUGCAACAUAACCUACAAUUUCACUCAUGUGGGCCGAUAUGAUCAUGAGGUCAGAAUGCACACAAAAUUGUACCAAAUAAUACACACUUGAUGCAAUAGGCUACAUGCUAGUGGAUCUUCACCUAAUCCUUUUUAUUUUGAGUUAAGGAAAUUUCUGAGAAUCUGAGAAUAGCAAACUAUGCAAGUAAAUAAAGCAUUGUUCAUCCCACAGACAGUCAAACAGAUAUCAGGUAAAAAAAGGAACCAAUGUUUUAUUUAUUACUAUCAUAGAUAAAUAUAUUCCAUUAUCCUAUUUGUGGUAUCGUAUCGGAAGUAUCGGAAGCCGUAAUAUUUUGGCAGGUAUAGUAUCGAAGUCAUAGUUUUGGUAUCGUGACAACUCUAGUAUUGACCUCUCUUGUCUACGUGUGUGCACACAGUGUUUCUGGAUCAUCCUCCUGAUGAGGUCAUGACAGCACACCCUGAUGAGGUCAUGACAGCACACCCUGAUGAGGUCAUGACAGCACAUCCUGAGCGAACCGCUGCAGCUGCCCCAAACCACCACCUGUUUGACCACAACUUGCUGCCCAUCAUCUUCACCAGCACCACCACCAUCUUCACCACCAUCAUCGUCAUCACCACCAUCUUCACCACCACCAACAUCAUCACCACCAUCAUCACCACCAUCUUCAUCUUCACCACCACCACCAUCUUCACCACCAUCUUCACCACUAUCACCACCAUCAUCUUCACCACCACCACCACCACCAUCUUCACAGCCACCAACAUCAUCACCACCAUCUUCACCAUGACCACCAUCAUCAUCACCACCAUCAACAUCAUUACCACCAUCUUCACCACUAUCACCACCACCAUCUUCACCACCACCAUCAUCCUCACCACCAUCUUGACCAAUACCACCACCACCAUCUUUACCAUAACCACCAUCAUCAUCACCACCACUAUCACCACCACCAUAUUCACCACCACCAUCAUCUUCACCAUCAUCAUCCUCACCACCAUCUUGACCACCACCAUCUUUACCAUGACCACCAUCAUCAUCACCACCACUAUCACCACCACCAUAUUCACCACCACCAUCAUCCUCACCACCAUCUUGACCACCACCAUCAUCACCACCACCAUCUUCACCACCACCACCACCAUCUUCACCACGACCACCAUCAUCAUCGACAUCAUCAGCUCAGAUGGAGACAGCAGGUGCUUCGCCCAAAUACCGCAGCCUGGCACGGCGGGGCACGUGUCAACCGACGGGGUGUCUUACCGGUCCCCUCCUCUUCAGAGAGAUGUUCUUCCACAGCAGGAGAUGGAGCUGGUGCAGGAAUCCCAUUUUGCUUCGGUCCCGUUGUGUCACUCAACGGAGCAGAUUAGCUCGCCGGUACCGGCGGCGGCCUGUGACUGGAUGUGAAUAACCGGGGAUUCUGUGCCGGUGCCGAGCAUCCCGCCCGAGCCUGUUGUUGCGGUGCUGAGAUGCGCAGGUUCUGCUAACGAUCAGUAUUAAGAAGCUCGCGUUUCUCGCUUUGUCGCAGUCGUAACGGGACCGACUGGUUCCCGUCUGUCAUCCUCUGCGGUCCGAGCAGCGCGGCGAGCUGCUCCUCCGGUUCACUAGUGCACCAGGGACGCGAAGGGGACGCGCAGACAGCCGCUGUUAAGCUCACCGGAGGAAUAAAACCACUUCCGGCCUGCCCUUUAGAAACAAAAGCCCCGCCAGCUCAGCGAUGGACCAGGGCUUGUAACGCCUGCACCGUUAAAUAUAAUAAAAAGCCCUCUUAUUUUAAUAAUGAAAUAUCAGUUGUGAUUUUGUGAGUAGAAUCAAAAGCAUUCAGUCAUUUCAUGGGACUACGUCAGCCUCAUAAAGGGACGGGGAGCGUUAUGACCAACAGAUGUCCCGUCUCUCUGUCACGUCCAGUCACACAGCUGCUAUUACCUUUAUCUGCUUUAUCUUCCUCAGAAGGCCUUCACACGUUAUGCAGUCAUCCAAUGUUUAGUUAUAUCUAUAAGAUGCUAAAUAGAUGGUUAAUGUUGUAAUAUCAUGAUUAUAAGUAUAUUCAAAUAUCUGACUUGAUUAAUGACCAUAACAGUCAAACUCCACUUUGUCCUGAAGGAAGAUGUGAUGUCGCCGAGAAUUUGUUGCCAAAUGCAAAAGACAGGGCAAAAUGACACACAAAAAGGCCUGUUGAGGCACUGCAGCAUUUCUCAUCCGCUUACGUGACAUUUGAUUGAUGCCAAACACUUUGGUACUGACUUAAAGAUACUGCACCAGACGUGGGAGUCCGUUGUGUAAUAGUGAGUGUCGGGGGACGGUUGUUCGUUAGUUAAAGGGGUCAUAAAAUGUUGUGGAGUAUAAAGCGUUAUUUCCAUUUGAAAUACAGAAAUGAAAGAAUACUCAAAUAAAGUAUAAGGAAGAUUGUACUGAGUUACAGUGCAUUGAUGUGCUAAUAUAAUGUCGGUAGCGCUUCUGGCUGUAUUGAUGUACUAAACCCAUGUUACAUGCCGGUUUAAAAGAGACACUGGCAGCACUCAAGGCUUGUGUCUGUCCUCUAUGUUUGAGUGUCCUUUACAAACUGACACAUCUUUGGCAUAUGGAAGCACUAUUAUUGCAAACAAGUAGAAUAUCCAGGAGUUGAGUCUACUUUCACAAAAAAAGAGAGUUGUCAGGGUGUGAUGCACGGGGGUGUCAAUAGACAGUCAACAGUACACAAUAGAUCUAGACAAAAUGUGUUUGGAGAGACAUUUGUCCGACAAGAGACACAGCAAACAAGCAACAAAAUGCAGAAAACGCCUGGUUUUCAUUUUAAAUUGUUGUUUCACUUUAUUCUGAAAGUCUAGCUUCCUGUCUCCAUAAAUGAUAGCGGAAUCCUGUAAAACAUCAGGACGAGAUGUUGUCAAUCAGUGGACACUGGAGGACCACACAGGACAGAGGACAGUGACACCCCCAAAGCUCCAGGAACAGAUGCAUUUCCAUGUUAUUUGACUUGUGUAACACAUUGUUUUGUAGCAGCGGAGAAUGACUUGGGUCACGUGUCUGUCGGACAGUGAGCCUGUGAACAUGUUCCGAUGGAGCUCUGAGGUGAGACCUGUUCUCAGCAGGAACCGGAACGUUCCGUGGUUGCCGUGGUUACCGGAAUGUUCGUCUUCAAACUCACAUUGGAUCGGUCAGAGAAGCAGACAUCUCUACUCUCCCACGAAACCUUCAGACAGAUUCUCUGCCCCCAGAAGUCCACCAGAGACCAUCUGACGAAGUGUACAGAACCUUCUGCAGCACAGAAGUGAGAUUUAUACACUUUUAAAGCCACUGUUGUUUCAUGUAUUUUACCGGUGACCCCAGAUGUUUAUGCUAAUCUUUGUGGUCAUAUUUUCAAUGGUUAGUGCAACUUAAACUACUGGAAACGACUUGUGGGUUUAUCUAAACUAAGGCGACGACUUGUGGGUUUAUCUAAACUAAGGCAACGACUUGUGGGUUUAUCUAAACUAAGGCAACGACUUGUGAGUUUAUCUAAACUAAGGCAACGACUUGUGAGUUUAUCUAAACUAAGGCAACGACUUGUGAGUUCAUCUAAACUAAGGCAACGACUUGUGGGUUUAUCUAAACUAAGGCAACGACUUGUGAGU